GAAAUUAUUAAUUUUCCAAAUAUUUUUAUUUUAACUUGAUAUAUCUAAAAUAUAAUACAUUCAACAUGUAAUCAAUAAAAAUUGUCAGUGAGAUCGUUUAGAUUUUUGUAGAAAGUCUUCAAAAUCAGGUGUGUAGUUUAUAUUUAUAGCACAUCUCACUUCAGACUAACAUGCUUCAAGCACUCUGUAGUCACACAUGACUGGUGGCUACCAUGUUGGAUGGCACAGGUAGGGAAAUUGGUAUACAUAAAAGUGAUCAGACGAAGGUCAUAGGUCACAAGUCUGAUAUAAGUCCCUGUCACAGAUAAUCCAGUCUUGGGCAGUGCUAGUAGUAGGGUGUAUGAAUUAUCUAUUGCCAAAACAACACUGCCCGAGAAACAACCCUAAAACCUCAGUGACACACAGUGAUAACCAUUCAACAUUGCCCCCAAGUCUCCAGGGUGGUCCUAGGGCCACUAUGACCUGGCCCAGCACACUCCCUGUCUGGUCAAUCGGUCAGCCAGUGCAGGCUGGUCCAGAAUGGCCUUGACAGGAA
rnacentral:lncRNA from 1 species